GGUAUUGAAAUAAGAUUUUAAAUGAGUGCUAAGAGAAUGAUUAAACAAUUAAAAGCUUUCUUUAAUUAAAAAAUUAAAUUUAAUUUUUUAGUGCAAAAGCAAAAAUAAAAUUUAGGGACAAGAAGACCCUAUGAAUUUUUAUUGUUAAUAAUUAAAAUUUAAGUUAUUAAUAAUUUAAUUGGGGCGAUAAAAAAAGAAUAAGUAUCUUUUUAGUUAUAAAAUAAGUUCCGUUUUUAGCGAUUAAAUGAAAUAAAUACUCUAGGGAUAACAGCGUAAUAAUUUUGGAUAGUUCAUAUAGAUAAAAUAGUUUGCGACCUCGAUGUUGGAUUAGGAUUC
rnacentral:rRNA from 1 species